CGGGUGAGUAAUGUAUGGGGAUCUGCCUGAUGGCGGGGGAUAACUACUGGAAACGGUAGCUAAUACCGCAUAAUGUCCACGGACCAAAGCGGGGGACCUCCGGGCCUCGCGCCAUCAGAUGAACCCAUAUGGGAUUAGCUUGUAGGUGAGGUAACGGCUUACCUAGGCGACGAUCCCUAGCUGGUCUGAGAGGAUGAUCAGCCACACUGGGACUGAGACACGGCCCAG
rnacentral:rRNA from 1 species